UACGUAGGGUGCGAGCGUUGUCCGGAAUUAUUGGGCGUAAAGCGCUUGUAGGCGGUUUGUCGCGUCUGCUGUGAAAAUCCGGGGCUCAACCCCGGACUUGCAGUGGGUACGGGCGGACUAGAGUGUGGUAGGGGAGACUGGAAUUCCUGGUGUAGCGGUGGAAUGCGCAGAUAUCAGGAGGAACACCGCUGGCGAAGGCAGGUCUCUGGGCCGCUACUGACGCUGAAAAGCGAAAGCGUGGGGAGCGAACAGG
rnacentral:rRNA from 1 species